GCAUUCGUGGUGUAACGGUCAGAACACUCGACGCGUAUUCGAGAGGUUCGAGGUUCAAAUCCCGCCGAUAGCA
rnacentral:tRNA from 1 species